rnacentral:lncRNA from 1 species
UAGCUGGCGCCCUCCUCCGUGAAGCCCUCCUCCCAGCCGCGGGGCAGGUCUGCGGAAACGCCAGAAAAGUCGGGUCAAACUUGGGCCGCCGCUGCGCGCGCCCCCCACCCGCCGGCCCGGCGCCCACCUGAGCGGAUCAUGUGGCCCGAGUUGACGGGCUCCCCGGUGCGCGGAUGCAGCCAGGUCGUGCAGCGGAGCUGGUCACUGCGGGCAGAGAGGUGCACCUGUUAGCGCCGCCACAGCCCGCCGGGUGCCCGCCCGGCCCCCGCCCCCGCGCCCCCACCCGCGUCCCCGCGUCCCCGGGUCCUCGCGCCGCACUUGAUGAAGAAGACGCGGCCAUCCCGGCACACCCCGUAGGACCAAUGCUCAGGCCAAAGGUGUCCAAACUAUACAGACCCACAGAAUCUAACAACAGAUGUCUCAAUAUUCCUCGUCCUAGAACUCUCAGAGGAUCCAGAACUACAGCCGGUCCUCGCUGGGCUGUUCCUGUCCAUGUGCCUGGUCAUGGUGCUGGGGAACCUGCUCAUCAUCCUGGCCGUCAGCCCUGACUCCCACCUCCACACCCCCAUGUACUUCUUCCUCUCCAACCUGUCCUUGCCUGACAUCGGUUUCACCUCCACCAUGGUCCCCAAGAUGAUUGUGGACAUCCAAUCUCACAGCAGUCAUCUCCUAUGCGGGCUGCCUGACUCAGAUGUCUCUUUUUGCCAUUUUUGGAGGCAUGGAAGAAAGACAUGCUCCUGAGUGUGAUGGCCCUAUGACCGGUUUGUAGCCAUCUGUCACCCUCUAUAUUAUUCAGCCAUCAUGAACCCAUGUUUCUGUGGCUUUCUAGUUCUGUUGUCUUGUUGUCUCAGUCUUUUAGACUCCCAGCUGCACAAUUUGAUUGCCUUGCAAAUUACCUGCUUCAAGGAUGUGGAAAUUCCUAAUUUCUUCUGUGACCCUUCUCAACUCCCCCACCAUGCGUGUUGUGACACCUUCACCAAUAACAUAGUCAUGUAUU